rnacentral:tRNA from 1 species
GGUUUCGUAGUGUAGUGGUUAUCACGUUCGCUUCACGCGAAAGGUUCCGGUUCGAUCCGGACGGAACAU